CCUACGGGUGGCUGCAGUGGGGAAUAUUGCACAAUGGGGGAAACCCUGAUGCAGCGACGCCGCGUGAGCGAUGAAGUAUUUCGGUAUGUAAAGCUCUAUCAGCAGGGAAGAAAAUGACGGUACCUGACUAAGAAGCCCCGGCUAACUACGUGCCAGCAGCCGCGGUAAUACGUAGGGGGCAAGCGUUAUCCGGAUUUACUGGGUGUAAAGGGAGCGUAGACGGCGAUGCAAGCCAGAUGUGAAAGCCCGGGGCUCAACCCCGGGACUGCAUUUGGAACUGUAUAGCUGGAGUGUCGGAGAGGCAGGCGGAAGUCCUAGUGUAGCGGUGAAAUGCGUAGAUAUUAGGAGGAACACCAGUGGCGAAGGCGGCCUGCUGGGCUUUUACUGACGCUGAGGCUCGAAAGUGUGGGGAGCAAACAGGAUUAGAUACCCCAGUAGUC
rnacentral:rRNA from 1 species